GCUACUAUUAUAUGUUGAAGAGAAAUGAUGCAUUUACCAAAAAUAUGACUCAGAGACACAAAAUUCACUACCUCUACUAGAUCUUCCAUCUCAAGAAUAAGCCUGAUUACAUUGACCUGGUCCUUGAUAACUCCUCACUGAACUGCAACAAUAGAUGGUGAGUGGUUGCUGCUCAGCUGGCAGGUGACUGUGUUUUGAAAGCUUUGGAAGACUGUUUCCAGCUGAUUGGCUAUUUUCACCAUUGGCUUGCUGACUUGCUCCUCCCAAUCUCAGAAACCCAGGUCAGUGUGCAUGUGAGAGAGGAAAAUCUUCCUUUAUCUGAGGAAGAGGCCAAGACCACCAGCAUCAGGUGGGUACCAGUCACCUUUUCUCUGAGAUGUCUCUUCACCUUCUCUGGAGUUCCAAGAAGACCUAACAUCAAAACAUCUGAUGAGGUUAGCCCUGUUCAGACUGAAGAAGACAUCAUUUUCAGCAGGUCUCCUGUGUUAUCAGAGAGAAAGAGAAUGGAUUUGGCAUUCUAGCUGAGCUCCAGGCACCCACGCAUCAAUGCAGCAUAUACACUUCAAAGAAUACUAGCCAGCAACCCAGAAAGGUCCCCAAGCACUCCCUGGCCUGCUUCUCUGUAGGUGUUUUAGUUUGGUUGUUUUUCACUCCCUACCCCCACCCCUCUCCUACUUAACAUUCACCUUAUCGUAAAUCACAUUCUUUACAAUUAAUCAUCAGUUUUUCCUCUGAAUUUGUUUUGGGAAUUAAGGAGAGAAAUCAGAA
rnacentral:lncRNA from 1 species